AUUGAACGCUGGCGGCAGGCUUAACACAUGCAAGUCGAGCGGGGUGAUGGUGCUUGCACUAUCACUUAGCGGCGGACGGGUGAGUAAUGCUUAGGAAUCUGCCUAUUAGUGGGGGACAACAUCUCGAAAGGGAUACUAAUACCGCAUACGUCCUACGGGAGAAAGCAGGGGAUCACUUGUGACCUUGCGCUAAUAGAUGAGCCUAAGUCGGAUUAGCUAGUUGGUGGGGUAAAGGCCUACCAAGGCGACGAUCUGUAGCGGGUCUGAGAGGAUGAUCCGCCACACUGGGACUGAGACACGGCCCAGACUCCUACGGGAGGCAGCAGUGGGGAAUAUUGGACAAUGGGGGGAACCCUGAUCCAGCCAUGCCGCGUGUGUGAAGAAGGCCUUAUGGUCGUAAAGCACUUUAAGCGAGGAGGAGGCUCUUUUGGUUAAUACCCAAGAUGAGUGGACGUUACUCGCAGAAUAAGCACCGGCUAACUCUGUGCCAGCAGCCGCAGUAA
rnacentral:rRNA from 1 species